GCCCCCAUCUCUGGGCUUCUGUGAGGCGGGAAAGCGAGCUUUGGCCGGCUUCGGAGGUGGUCGCCGCGCAGCGCGUUGACGACACCAGCCACGCCUGGGUCCCUUCUGGAACCUUCCGCUGAAACCGGCUGAGGUUCCCGUUACCUAGGAAGGGAAAUGAAGGCAGGUGGGACAUGACAGGGAGUUCCACUUGGGGCAUGUGGGAUUUCUGUGUUCCUGGAACAUCCAGACGGAACUGGUGCUGGUUAGAGCAACCACGGGAUCAGGGAUCGAGCUCAGGACCUUGACCU